GAUGAAGAACGCAGCGAAAUGCGAUAAGUAAUGUGAAUUGCAGAAUUCAGUGAAUCAUCGAGUCUUUGAACGCACAUUGCGCCCCCUGGUAUUCCGGGGGGCAUGCCUGUCCGAGCGUCAUUGCCGCCCUCAAGCACGGCUUGUGUGUUGGGCCCCCGCCCCCCGGCUUCGGGGGGCGGGCCCGAAAGGCAGCGGCGGCACCGCGUCCGGUCCUCGAGCGUAUGGGGCUUCGUCACCCGCUCUGUAGGCCCGGCCGGCGCCCGCCGGCGACCCCAAUCAAUCUUUCCAGGUUGACCUCGAAUCAGGUAGGAAUACCCGCUGAACUUAAGCAUAUCAAUAAGCGGAGGA
rnacentral:misc_RNA from 1 species